UGCCGAGAUAAGUUUCAUUUUGCGUCUUUUGAAUUCGAAUAGUUCAUGUGAUGUGACGUAGUGGAACAUACCUGAAA
rnacentral:pre_miRNA from 1 species